GAUGAACGCUGGCGGCGUGCCUAACACAUGCAAGUCGAGCGAUUUACUUCGGUAAAGAGCGGCGGACGGGUGAGUAACGCGUGGGUAACCUGCCCUGUACACACGGAUAACAUACCGAAAGGUAUGCUAAUACGAGAUAAUAUACUUUUAUCGCAUGGUAGAAGUAUCAAAGCUCCGGCGGUACAGGAUGGACCCGCGUCUGAUUAGCUAGUUGGUAAGGUAACGGCUUACCAAGGCGACGAUCAGUAGCCGACCUGAGAGGGUGAUCGGCCACAUUGGAACUGAGACACGGUCCAAACUCCUACGGGAGGCAGCAGUGGGGAAUAUUGGUCAAUGGGCGCAAGCCUGAACCAGCCAUCCCGCGUGCAGGAAGACGGCCCUAUGGGUUGUAAACUGCUUUUCCAGGGAGAGAAACUUACGCACGUGUUGCGUGACUGACGGUACCCUGGGAAUAAGCAUCGGCUAACUCCGUG
rnacentral:rRNA from 1 species